GGGUUGUGAGGUUAAGCGACUAAGCGUACACGGUGGAUGCCCUGGCAGUCAGAGGCGAUGAAGGACGUGCUAAUCUGCGAUAAGCGUCGGUAAGGUGAUAUGAACCGUUAUAACCGGCGAUUUCCGAAUGGGGAAACCCAGUGUGUUUCGACACACUAUCAUUAACUGAAUCCAUAGGUUAAUGAGGCGAACCGGGGGAACUGAAACAUCUAAGUACCCCGAGGAAAAGAAAUCAACCGAGAUUCCCCCAGUAGCGGCGAGCGAACGGGGAGGAGCCCAGAGCCUGAAUCAGUGUGUGUGUUAGUGGAAGCGUCUGGAAAGGCGCGCGAUACAGGGUGACAGCCCCGUACACAAAAAUGCACAUGCUGUGAGCUCGAUGAGUAGGGCGGGACACGUGGUAUCCUGUCUGAAUAUGGGGGGACCAUCCUCCAAGGCUAAAUACUCCUGACUGACCGAUAGUGAACCAGUACCGUGAGGGAAAGGCGAAAAGAACCCCGGCGAGGGGAGUGAAAAAGAACCUGAAACCGUGUACGUACAAGCAGUGGGAGCACAGAGCAAUCUGUGUGACUGCGUACCUUUUGUAUAAUGGGUCAGCGACUUAUAUUCUGUAGCAAGGUUAACCGAAUAGGGGAGCCGAAGGGAAACCGAGUCUUAACUGGGCGUUAAGUUGCAGGGUAUAGACCCGAAACCCGGUGAUCUAGCCAUGGGCAGGUUGAAGGUUGGGUAACACUAACUGGAGGACCGAACCGACUAAUGUUGAAAAAUUAGCGGAUGACUUGUGGCUGGGGGUGAAAGGCCAAUCAAACCGGGAGAUAGCUGGUUCUCCCCGAAAGCUAUUUAGGUAGCGCCUCGUGAAUUCAUCUCCGGGGGUAGAGCACUGUUUCGGCAAGGGGGUCAUCCCGACUUACCAACCCGAUGCAAACUGCGAAUACCGGAGAAUGUUAUCACGGGAGACACACGGCGGGUGCUAACGUCCGUCGUGAAGAGGGAAACAACCCAGACCGCCAGCUAAGGUCCCAAAGUCAUGGUUAAGUGGGAAACGAUGUGGGAAGGCCCAGACAGCCAGGAUGUUGGCUUAGAAGCAGCCAUCAUUUAAAGAAAGCGUAAUAGCUCACUGGUCGAGUCGGCCUGCGCGGAAGAUGUAACGGGGCUAAACCAUGCACCGAAGCUGCGGCAGCGACGCUGAUGCGUUGUUGGGUAGGGGAGCGUUCUGUAAGCCUGUGAAGGUGUGCUGUGAGGCAUGCUGGAGGUAUCAGAAGUGCGAAUGCUGACAUAAGUAACGAUAAAGCGGGUGAAAAGCCCGCUCGCCGGAAGACCAAGGGUUCCUGUCCAACGUUAAUCGGGGCAGGGUGAGUCGACCCCUAAGGCGAGGCCGAAAGGCGUAGUCGAUGGGAAACAGGUUAAUAUUCCUGUACUUGGUGUUACUG
rnacentral:rRNA from 1 species